rnacentral:rRNA from 1 species
UACGUAGGGGGCAAGCGUUGUCCGGAAUCAUUGGGCGUAAAGAGCGUGUAGGCGGCUCGAUAAGUCUGCUGUGAAAGUCCAGGGCUCAACCCUGGAAGGCCGGUGGAAACUGUCGGGCUAGAGUCCGGAAGAGGCGAGUGGAAUUCCCGGUGUAGCGGUGAAAUGCGCAGAUAUCAGGAGGAACACCGGUGGCGAAGGCGGAUCUCUGGGCCUUGCCUGACGCUGAGGCGCGAAAGCUAGGGGAGCGAACAGG